CAGAGGUGGCAAGCGUUGUUCGGAUUUAUUGGGCGUAAAGGGUCCGUAGGCGGUUUGGAAAGUCGGAUGUGAAAUCCCACAGCUCAACUGUGGAACUGCAUUCGAAACUUCCAGACUGGAGUGUGAGAGGGGUAAAGGGAAUUCCCGGUGUAAGGGUGAAAUCUGCAGAGAUCGGGAAGAACACCAGUCGCGAAGGCGCUUUACUGGCUCACAACUGACGCUGAGGGACGAAAGCUAGGGGAGCAAACGGGAUUAGAUACCCCGGUAGUCCUAGCCGUAAACGAUGAUCACUAGGUGUUGGGAGGGUUAAACCUUUCGGUGCCGCAGCUAACGCAUUAAGUGAUCCGCCUGGGGAGUACGGUCGCAAGGCUG
rnacentral:rRNA from 1 species